rnacentral:rRNA from 1 species
UACAGAGGAGGCGAGCGUUGUUCGGAAUCAUUGGGCUUAAAGCGCGUGUAGGCGGCUGCGUAAGUGUUCUGUGAAAUCCCGCGGCUCAACCGUGUGAAGUGCAGGGCAAACUGCGUAGCUUGAGGUCGGUAGAGGUGCCUGGAACUCUAGGUGGAGCGGUGAAAUGCGUAGAUAUCUAGAGGAACGCCUGAGGCGAAAGCGGGGCACUGGGCCGAAUCUGACGCUGAGACGCGAAAGCGUGGGGAGCAAACAGG